UAGAGACAGCAGGGGAAUCAAAGCUGCCACUAAUGGCGCCGUUUCCUCACGCCGCCCCACAGGGCAACGCUGGUUUUCAGCUAAUGGGUUUUCUCAUUUCCUGGACUUGAAAGAGAGAAAACCUUCUCAGGUGUUAAUGGUGGUGAUUAGUUAACGCUGCAUGUCAGACUGGAAACAUCCCUGCUGCAGCCAUGAUUAAACGCACAGGAAGUUAAAAACAUUUAAACAAUAAUGUCAUUUCAACAUGGCUGCUUAGCUUAGCAUUGAUAAGAAGGAGCUCAUUUAGAGUUACUGAGAGUUCAGCGAACCCCCACCUAGUCUGCUCAACACGGUUCACUAUUAUCAACAUAAUAUAUCUUCUUCACAGACCUUUUCUGAAAUAUUCUAAAGAAAUGCUUGCUAAGCUGAGAUAGCUACAGGCUAAAUGCUACGCUGUUAUCUGAGACUAGAUAUUAGCUUCUGUGUGCUCAGAUGGUUUCUACUCUGCAUAUUAAGGUAUGUUUGGUGUUUGAACUCUUAAAAUAUGCAGCUAUUAGCAUUUUAAAAAAAGGUCUCAGGUAUUUAUGGAUUUCAGUUAUUCUUUGACAAAGAAAAGGACCAUGCUAGUGUUAAUGCUAGCAUGCUAAUGCUAAAGUAUGCAGCUUUUUAUUUUGAAUUGUAGAAUUGGUCAAAACUACAAAAGCAGCUUUACUGCACGUCAUCUGCCUUAAACACAUAAAACUAUUGUUGUUUAAACAGUAAAAACAUAAAAAGUGAGCAAAUCAUUUCCAGACGCUGCGGCUCUGAUGUCAGAUAUUAUCAGAUAUUUCAUGUUCAUUUAUAUGUUUUGUGCUGCAGUCUGUGCUUUCGAGACAGCACAAUGAGUCAUGGGCAAAAUCAUUAAAUGAACUGUCAUCAAUAUAUAUUACUAAUAUUUUAUAGAUGUGUAUUAACAAUGGUCAGAAUUAUGAGGACAGAUGAUUUCUGUUGGACUUAGCAUAUUCUGAGAGGAUACAACUCUAAUCUCAAACACUGUAACAAAUUCUGGUCAUGGAUCCAGGUACGAAUUUAUUUACAGCUUUUACAGCAAAUGUUCUUUCUUGGACGGGCUGGACUGAAUUACACUUUUAUUGUGUUUCUGUGCAAUGAGAAUGAAGUCAUUCUGAUGAUGUGACAUUCACCAUCCGACCUGCAUGUUUUACAUGCUGUUAGCAUGUCGCUAGCAUGUCGCAUAAAUAUUUCUACGGCCUUUUAGGCUGCAUUCAGACCAACCAGAAUUAGGUUCCUGAAUCAGACUCUGAUCGGUUUGUCUAGAAAGUUUGAUUUUUGGGGGAGGUCUGAAUGCAAAUUUGAAUUCCAAAACGGACUUAAAACCGAACUCUGAUCCGCCUAAAAGCCUGGGUCUGGCUCCGGUAGAAGUGAACUCUAAACGGUAGAAAACCUGUCUGAAUGCAACCUGACUAGAGACCGUUCCAAAAGCAGGAAGUUGGAUACAGUGCAGGGCAUUCUGGGUAAUAUAUUGCUCUCUGCUCUGCAGGUUAAUGAAGAUGUUGUGUCGGUUGCCAUGUGUUAAACAAAAAUAA